rnacentral:lncRNA from 1 species
AGAUUCUUCGCACUGACUAUAGCUCCAUCGUAGUUAUACGGUAUCUCUCCUCCGUUUUUCGCCACGCAAGCGCAGUCCUUCGCUUCUGCACAGCGUCUGGUGCAACGGCAUCCCUUCGGAGGUAUCGGUCUGCACCAGUCAGGGUAAAUCAUCUUAACCGUGUAGAUGAACGAAGGAGGCUCCUCGUCGUCGAUCUCGUUCACAGCGCAAAUGGGAAGCCUCUCAUGCCCUUCCGAGAUGUCGAUCCUGCACAGACCCACACGCUCCUCUGCCUUCUUUGUGUUCUUCACCACUUUCCACGCGAGCUCGGGUUGUCCAGGCAUGCGCCUAAGCUUAAACUUAAACACAAGCUUCCCGUGCGAACCAGUCUCUUGCCAAAACGUCUCCACAACGUAUAAUCCAUCGUAAACAUAGCUUCUACCUUUCUUAUCGCCUGAUGAUUCCAAAACCGCCUUCUUGUUCCCUCUUAUGACACGAACAGGGUUCUUCUUUUUCACGCUGUUUGCUAACGCGAGGUUCCCAGUUACAAGCUUCUGGUCUUCAGGCAUCGGUACUUCCUUUCCUUUCUUGUUCUUUAUCACGUUUCCGCCUUGACCCGUGUAGGUCAAGACAUCAGUGUUGUCAAGCUCGUCAUCGUACCCUCCGGAGGCUACAAUACUCGUUGCAAAUACUUCAUCACCGAUCUUCAUAUAAUCAAUACCUCCUUGACUCGGUUUAUGUAUGCCGAGGAUGUUCAGCUCCAUCCUGUACUGAAACUCAUCACCUACUUCAAUCCCAGGGACAGCUCCCAUUAUAUGUUUUCCUGUGUUGAGAUACUUCCCUUUCUCCUUGAGAAUCUUCGCGGCUUCGCAGUCUACUCUGAACCUCUUUUGUUUCACAGGCUUUGCUUCUUCCUCUUGUAAAAGCUUUCUACAAGCUCCGUAGAAGAGACGUAGCGUUUCCUUGACUUUUGUCCGGCUAUCACCACCGCCGCUUGAGCCACUGGGACGCGAAGGAGGAAGCCCAACUUGUAAUGUCCGAGGGUGGCGAGGUAGCUCCCCUCUAUCUGGACUUCUUCCUCUCUCUCGCGAAUACAAAUUCUUCUUCAUCUUAGACCCUUCACCGUAAUCUAUAGUCAUCUUUUUGGCAACCUUCAACGGUUCAUGAAACGCAACGCUUUUUGUCGCUUUUCUUUUAACCGCACCAUGAGUCCGUUUUGGUUCAGAUGACAAUGCCUUAACCGCACUCUUAUCAUUUCCAUCCGGCAAGCAGAUCCUCAGCGGCUUAACCGCCGCAGGCUCAACAUGUCGAUCACUUGUAUACACCGUAGAUUCGCCAGACUCCUCUUUCUUUGGUUCCGGCUCAUGUUUAUCACCAUUAGAUUCAAAUACCACGAGCUCCAUGUCGUUACGAGGAUGAUGCUCAUCACGCUGCUCAGACUUUCUUUCCUCUUUACAAGGGUCAUCAGCAUUAGCAACAUUCAUGUUAGCUUCAGAAGACGGAACACUAGGGUGGUGAUCAUCAGCACCACCAACAGCAUUCCCAUUCUCUGGCAUUAUCGCCUUAAGCCUCAUGGCAGGGGUUCCACAACCUGGAGGGAAGUCUCUAUGCGCAAAAACCUUGCGGCGCUUGAACUUAAGCAUCUUAGUAGAAGCGGUUACACGAACAUUAUGCAAAACGUCUCCUCCUAGAUUCUCCUCAGGAACAUGACCAUUGCUCAAGGAACUAACUUUGAAUGACUCUGCAUGCACCAUAUCCUCCACUAAACGAGACAAUGGACUAAGACUCUAUGAACCAAAAAUCACCAGGACUUGUUCUACAACAAUGAACAAAACCUCAUCAAACAAAAAAACUCAUCUCUUUACAUCAAUUGAAUCAACGUAAUAUCUAUUCACGAACUUUGGAAUCAUAGCAGAGAAAAAUCUAUCGAAUCUGAUAGAUUCUAAGCUUGCGGAAACACGAAACCCAGAUUUUUUGGCGAAACAGCACGAUCUCAAAGGGUGAGGAAUCGAUUAAGAGAUCGAAUUGGCUAUCUUAUAACCAGAGAAGAGAGAGGGAAAGCUUACCGAUUGAAAGAGCGAGAUCGAAAGAAGAAGAAGAUGAAGAAUUCGAAGUUUAUAAUAGUCAGAAUUAGCGAUUUGAUUUGUUUCCUUGUGUUUUAUAACAAAUUAAAUAAAAACGUUUUAACGUUUGAGGAGAGUAAAAAUCUCAUAUACUGAGGCAAAAAAUGAUCUGAGAUACUCUUACGAAAUCUGACAUACUCUCUACUCUUCAUGAAAUAAGACAUUUCCAAUUUUGCCCUUACGUUUUCCCUCCUCAAGUGAAAAUUUGAAUUUUGAAUUUUAGGUAUCAAAUUUACAAUUUGAAUUUUGAAUUUUAAUGAAACUACGAACCAAGUUGAACCAAGUUAUACAAUUGUCGAAUUUUAGGUAUCAAAUUUAAAAUUUAAAUUUUGAAUUUUAGUGAAAGUUGAACCAAGUUAAACCAAGUUAUAUCAUUGUCAAAUUAUAUUUUUGGUGUACAUAUGUCAUAGUUUCACCAAGUUAUACCUCAAGACUGGUAUAACUAGGUUAUAGUUUUGCCAAGUUGUACAUUUGUCAAGGUACAACUUGGUAAACUAUCAGCUAGUUAUACAGUUUUACCAAGUUACAAAGUAGUAUAAUUUGGUAAAACUGUAUAACUAGGUUGUAGUUUUACCAAGUUGUACAUUUGUCAAAAGAUACAACUUAGUAAGAUUAUAACCUAGUUAUACAGUUUUACCAAGUUACACAAUAGUAUAACCUGGUAAAAUUGUUUUUCUGGGUUUGUAGUUUCACUUCCGUGUUCUACUUUGAUAUAUGCGUUUCUGGAUCUUAAAAACCGAUAAUACCAAAAAUCAGACUGACGUUGAUGCGGAGAAUAAGCGAAGUAGUAGGUAGAGAAGAAGAAGGAAAAUGUGGAGAAGAAAAUGAAAAAACAGUUUAGAUUCAAAGAAGAACAAAGGAAAAAACAGAAAAAUCAGUAGAUGAAGAAUGAAAGAUAGAUCUAGAUUCAAAGAAGAGCAAAAAAAAUAUAGAGAAAACUAAAAUAAAAACGGAGCAAUCAGUACAGAUGAAAAUCGAAAAUAAAACAAGAGAAACAGAGAGAAAAACAUAUUCGAAAAAGAAGAGAUUUGAAUGAAAGAAUGAAUGAAAGAGAAGAGAGAAAAAAAGAGAAGAGAGAAAGAAAGAAGAUGAAGAAUGAAAGAUAGAUCUAGAUCUGUAGAGAUAAGGAAGAAAAUUAGGUUUAAUGGCAUAGUCUGUAAAUAACUAUAUUCAUUAAUGAUAUAUUGGGUUUUUAGUCAGAUUUCGAAUUAAAAAUAAAUAAAAAUAAAAUGAAUUUAGGAUGGAGAGUAUCUGAAAACUUUUUUUCGAUAGAGGAGUACUGGAGCAUUUAAUUCCUUGGAUGGAGCUUCGGGAGUAUGAUCCCUUGCCGGAGUGUUCGUGUGGCGAGGUUAAGGAACGAGCAGAAGAGGCGAGAGAGAAGGAGGAGCGUCACGCGUUUCUGAUGGGUUUGAAUAAGGAAUUAAGCUUUAUGAGAACUCAAAUCAUGAUCAUGAAUCCUCCUCCUUCGUUAAACCAAGCCUACUUGAUGCUUAGCAGAGCAGAAUCAACGUUGAACUCGACAAGAUGAUGAAUAAUAUUGUUUUCACUUGAACAAUUGUCUCUGUUCUAUUUAAAUUUCAGUGUUUCUUUAAACAAGAAGAAUCCGACAUAAACAGGGACACAAGUUCGAUUAGUAAAGCCUACCGGUACAAUCAGAAGAACCACAGUAGCAUGUUUUUUUCUUGAUAUUACCAUUAGAGUCACGUACCUGAUCGAUCAUGUAAUUGUAGUGGUACGUGAGUUCUUGAAGAGGAGGUACAUUGUCCAUUGCGAAGAACAUCACGUGAGGGAUCCUCGUGUCUUCAUGAUCAUACAACACGUUCUGCGCGUACAGAUUCGGCGAGCAGCAGUGGUUUAUGAACCUCCCUAUGUUCCCUUUCUUUGCUGCAUCAAUGGUGAACCCGCUCAUCUCAUCAUCAUCUCCUCCCAUGGCCGGCUGCGUCUCAGGCAUUAGCUUCGACAUCCCUUCAGCUAAAGAGUUGUCGUAUCUGUUCCCAAUAUCAAAGAGAUACUCGUCGUUCCCUGUUCUUCUCUCCGCUUCUUUGUCCUCUAAAAGCUCACCUACGUACUCGCAUAUGAAGCUACCUGAAGGGAUCGAGCUGAGAGAUCUCACUCCCCAUCCUCUCGACUCGGUUUUGAAGAUCUCAAGCGGGAACUUGAUCCCUCUCUGCGUGACUCUUAGGUAGCAAGAAGCAGGGCAUUUACAAAGAGGGCCACACUCGUAGAUCAGAUUCUUCGCACUGACUAUAGCUCCAUCGUAGUUAUACGGUAUCUCUCCUCCGUUUUUCGCCACGCAAGCGCAGUCCUUCGCUUCUGCACAGCGUCUGGUGCAACGGCAUCCCUUCGGAGGUAUCGGUCUGCACCAGUCAGGGUAAAUCAUCUUAACCGUGUAGAUGAACGAAGGAGGCUCCUCGUCGUCGAUCUCGUUCACAGCGCAAAUGGGAAGCCUCUCAUGCCCUUCCGAGAUGUCG